AGCGAACGCUGGCGGCAGGCUUAACACAUGCAAGUCGAGCGGGUCCUUCGGGGUCAGCGGCGGACGGGUGAGUAACGCGGGGGAACGUGCCUUCUGGUUCGGAAUAAGCCUGGGAAACUAGGGCUAAUACUGGAUACGCCGUUUUGGGGAAAGGUUUACUUCCGGAAGAUCGGCACGAGUCUGAUUAGAUAGUGGGUGGGGUAACGGCCUACCAAGGCGACGAUCAGUAGCUGGUCUGAGAGGAUGUUAAGCCACACUGGGGCUGAGACUCGGCCCAGACUCCUACGGUAGGCAGCAGUGGGAAAUAUUGGACAAUGGGCGCAAGCCUGAUCCAGCCAUGCCGCGUGAGUGAUGAAGGCCUUAGGGUUGGAAAGCUCUAUUAUCCGGGACGAUAAUGACGGUACCGGAGGAAUAAGCCCCGGCUAACUUCGUGCCAGCCGCCGCCGUAA
rnacentral:rRNA from 1 species